UCUCUUUUUUUUUUCUUUCCAUUCCACCGAUCCCUUUCCCUCACGCUACCAUCUAGAUCUCUAACUCUCCUCCAACGUCAGAACACCACACCCAACAGCUGGAGUCCGUGUCUCUCUCUUUCUCUCCAUCGCUACACGUUGUCGACUACAAUGAUUGAACAUCGACCAGACAAACGCACCACCGCCAGCUAUUUUCGCACGGAAUCGAAGGUUAGCCGAUCUGUGUGGUACUUUUUGUCCCUUCUCCGAUCAGCCACUAUUUAACGAUUGGAAGUCGUUCACCAACUCCUGGCCGUCCAUUUUUGUUUGUCUUGCACGUUGCCGCUUGGCCACAGUCACGCUACCUCUGAGAUUUGUUUUGAGCUAGUUGUCCUGUCUGCAGUGUGUUGAUUGAGCCUCCGGUGUGUUGUAGACUACGUGAAUGUGUUUUCAUAGCACCACCUAUGGUUGUCAAGGAGUUUCGGGGUUGAAAGAGGUCGUGACUGGAGAUCCGAGAACCUGAGCCUAGGUGAGGAUGUGGAUGGAGGAUUUUGAUAUGGCUUCGAGUCUUGCUUAACCCAUGGUGGGUGACUCUACGUGCACAUAGGAGCAUAGGGAUGCUAUUAUUGUGGUAGGUGCUAAAUAUGUAUGAGCUCUGUUUGGCCACAUGUUUCUUUGUGGUGAUCUCGUGUGAGCUAUUUUGAGCCGUGUAUUUAGCAUGCUAUCAUGGUUGGAUUGGAUGGAUGUUGUUACUGUGGUAGGUGUUAAGUAUGUGUGAGCUUCAUUUGGCCGCGUGUUUCCUUAUGGAUAUGGAUCGGGUGUGAGCUAUUACGGAUCGUGUAUUUAGUAUGUUAUUAUGAUCGGAUUGGAUGGAGGUUACUAUUUGUGGUGGGUACUAAAUAUGUGUGAGCUAGUUGUGGCCGCAUGAUUCUUUGAUCAUGUGCGAGCUAUUCUUGACCGUAUAUUUAGGCAUCUUGCCAGGGUCAAAUUGACUACAGGUUUUUUGGUAUUACUUGUGAGUUAUGGUAAAAUAUGAUUUUAAUGUUUUAAUUAUUAUUUUGUUAUGGAUGUUA